rnacentral:rRNA from 1 species
UGGGGAAUAUUGGACAAUGGGCGCAAGCCUGAUCCAGCCAUGCCGCGUGAGUGAUGAAGGCCCUAGGGUUGUAAAGCUCUUUUGUGCGGGAAGAUAAUGACGGUACCGCAAGAAUAAGCCCCGGCUAACUUCGUGCCAGCAGCCGCGGUAAUACGAAGGGGGCUAGCGUUGCUCGGAAUCACUGGGCGUAAAGGGUGCGUAGGCGGGUUUCUAAGUCAGAGGUGAAAGCCUGGAGCUCAACUCCAGAACUGCCUUUGAUACUGGAAGUCUUGAGUUCGGGAGAGGUGAGUGGAACUGCUAGUGUAGAGGUGAAAUUCGUAGAUAUUCGCAAAAACACCAGUGGCGAAGGCGGCUCACUGGCCCGAUACUGACGCUGAGGCACGAAAGCGUGGGGAGCAAACA